rnacentral:rRNA from 1 species
UACAGAGGUCUCAAGCGUUGUUCGGAUUCAUUGGGCGUAAAGGGUGCGUAGGCGGUGAGGUAAGUCUGGUGUGAAAUCCCGGGGCUCAACCCCGGAACUGCACUGGAUACUGCCUUACUUGAGCACUGGAGAGGGAACUGGAAUUUACGGUGUAGCAGUGAAAUGCGUAGAUAUCGUAAAGGAAGACCAGCGGCGAAGGCGAGUUCCUGGACAGUUGCUGACGCUGAGGCACGAAGGCCAGGGGAGCAAACGGG